UAAUUAGAGAGUUUGAUCCUGGCUCAGGACGAACGCUGGCGGCGUGCCUAACACAUGCAAGUCGAACGGAGCUAAAGAGCUUGCUUUUUAGCUUAGUGGCGGACGGGUGAGUAAUGCGUGAGCAACCUGCCUGUCAGUGGGGGAUAACUUCCGGAAACGGACGCUAAUACCGCAUAUAGUACAUAAUCCGCAUGGAUAAGUGUAUGAAAGGAGCAAUCCGCUGAUAGAUGGGCUCACGUCCGAUUAGUUUGUUGGUGAGGUAACGGCUCACCAAGACUGCGAUCGGUAGCCGGGCUGAGAGGCUGA
rnacentral:rRNA from 1 species